AUGAGUCGUGAAAAGGACUGGUGUGAUCUAUUUGUUGUACAGGACAAUAACAUGGCAGCAAUUAAUAUACCAGCACUACAUAUUGAGAAUUACAAUGUCAUGAAUGGUGUUUGGUUUAUGUGUAGAAAUGAGCAUAAGGUUAGUGAAAAUCACUUGACCAUGAAGAGUUUCAAGAUCUAUAUGGAAGGACCAAGGCCACGGCUUGAAGAAAGGGAUGAAUUUUUGUUGAUGGCAUGA
rnacentral:lncRNA from 1 species